rnacentral:rRNA from 1 species
CCUACGGGAGGCUGCAGUGGGGAAUAUUGGGCAAUGGGCGCAAGCCUGACCCAGCAACGCCGCGUGAAGGAAGAAGGCUUUCGGGUUGUAAACUUCUUUUCUGAGGGACGAAGAAAGUGACGGUACCUCAUGAAUAAGCCACGGCUAACUACGUGCCAGCAGCCGCGGUAAUACGUAGGUGGUAAGCGUUAUCCGGAUAUAUUGGGUGUAAAGGGCGUGUAGGCGGGAAGGCAAGUCAGAUGUGAAAACUCAGGGCUCAACCCUGAGCAGGCAUUUGAAACUGUUUAUCUUGAGUGCUGUGGAGGCGAUCGGAAUUCCGUGUGUAGCGGUGAAAUGCGGAGAUAUACGGAGGAACACCAGUGGCGAAGGCGGAUUGCUGGACAGUAAAUGAAGCUGAGGCGCGAAAGCGUGGGGAGCAAACAGGAUUAGAUACCCCAGUAGUC